rnacentral:lncRNA from 1 species
UUAGACUGUUCUACUCUUCCAGGAUUUGAUGUGAGGACAACUGUGGAAAUGACAGUAGAGCAAGAGAGGAGGAAGUAUAUUUAGUAUUUUAAAAUGUCAGAUAUUGGCCUGGGCUCCCUAUACCUUUAAGCAUAUGAAUUCUUAUCACCUGAUGAGAUUUAGAGAAAAAAAAAAUUCUUGGCUAGAAAUUUCCCUCAGACCAAUUAAGAGAUCUCUACACAAGGGACAUGAAAAUAUGAAUGAACCAUGGAAAUUAUCCAAAAGGAUAUGUUGCUGGCAGAGAACCUCUUAGAACUGUGAAUGCAUAUGGGAAACUUUCCCCCUACCUCCGUUGCUUACAAUAUGUGUAUAAUUGCCAUGGAUAUUUUUGGAUAAUUUUUAUUGAAAUAGUUUAAAUGGUUAUAGACUUACAGUUAUUAUGAAGAAGAAAAUGAACUAAGUAUUCUCAAUGAGUUAAAGUGAGGAAAAACUGCAUCAAAUUUAGGUGAUGAUCUACCUUUCAUCCCUGUAAAAUGAAGAAUCAUAAACUAUGCACCUUUUAACUGAAUCUUUUCAUGGAAAAUGAAUAGGGC